rnacentral:rRNA from 1 species
CCUACGGGAGGCAGCAGUAAGGAAUAUUGGUCAAUGGGCGCAAGCCUGAACCAGCCAUGCCGCGUGCAGGAAGACGGCCCUAUGGGUUGUAAACUGCUUUUGAACAAGAGAAAACCUCGGUACGUGUACCGAGCUGAUAGUAUUGUUAGAAUAAGCAUCGGCUAACUUCGUGCCAGCAGCCGCGGUAAGACGAAGGAUGCAAGCGUUAUCCGGAUUCAUUGGGUUUAAAGGGUGCGUAGGCGGCCUGAUAAGUCAGUGGUGAAAUCUCUCAGCUUAACUGAGAAACUGCCAUUGAUACUGUCGGGCUUGAGUACAGAUGAUGUGGGCGGAAUAUGACAUGUAGUGGUGAAAUACUUAGAUAUGUCAUAGAACACCGAUUGCGAAGGCAGCUCACAAAACUGUAACUGACGCUGAGCGACGAAGUAGCGGGAGUACAACAAGAGUACGUAUACCUACGUAGUCGCGACCGUAACG